CCUACGGGAGGCAGCAGUGGGGGAUAUUGCACAAUGGGGGAAACCCUGAUGCAGCGACGCCGCGUGGGCGAAGAAGUAUUUCGGUAUGUAAAGCCCUAUCAGCAGGGAAGAAGAAAUGACUGUACCUGAGUAAGAACCCCCGGCUCAAUACGUGCCAGCAGCCGCGGUAAUACGUAUGGUGCAAGCGUUAGCCGGAUUUACUGGGUGGAAAGGGAGCGCAGGCGGCACGGCAAGUCUGAUGUGAAAGCCCGCGGCCCAACCGCGGGACUGCAUUGGGAACUACCGGGAUGGAGUGCCGGAGAGGUAGGCGGAAUUCCUAGUGUAGCGGUGAAAUGCGUAGAUAUUAGGAGGAACACCAGUGGCGAAGGCGGCCUACUGGACGGUGACUGACGCUGAGGCUCGAAGGCGUGGGGAGCAAACAGGAUUAGAUACCCGUGUAGUC
rnacentral:rRNA from 1 species